UCCCAGGUGAUGUCCCUGUCCCCAGGUGGCCCAGGAGCAGCUCCGCGCGGCCGAGGCGGCGCUGGCUCUCAAGCAGGAGCUCAUCGACCGCCUCAAGGCCGAGGCCGAGCACCAGCGGGCGGCCCUGGAGACCAUCCCCGUGCUGCAGGCCCAGGCCGACAUCUACCGGGCGGAUUUCGAGGCGGAGCGCGCGGCGCGGGAGCAGCUGCACGGGCAGCGCGAGGCCCUGCAGGAGGAGCUGAAGCAGCUGCGGAUGCGGCUGGGCGGGGACGGGGCCCGGUACGGCCUGACCCCCAAACCCCCAGACACCCCAAACACCCUGAAAACACCCUGAAAACACCCCAAACACCCUGAAAAUAACCCAAACCACCCUGAAAACAGCCCAAAACACCUCGAAACAGCCCCAAAACACCCUGAAAACACCCUGAAAACACCCCAAACACCCGAAACACCCUGAAAACACCCCAAACACCCUGAAAAUAACCCAAAACCACCCAAAACACCCUGAAAACACCCUGAAAAUAACCCAAACACCCUGAAAACACCCUGAAAACACCCUGAAAACACCCCAAACACCCUGAAAACACCUCGAAACAGCCCCAAAACACCCCGAAACACCCUGAAAAUAACCCAAAACCACCCAAAACACCCCGAAACGCCCUGAAAACACCCCAAAACAGCCCCAAAACACCCCAAAACACCCUGAAAACACCCCAAAACACCCUGAAAACACCCCGAAACAGCCCCAAAACACCCCAAAACACCCUGAAAAUAACCCAAAACCACCCAAAACACCCUGAAAACACCCUGAAACAGCCCCGAAACACACCGAAACAGCCCCCAAACCCCCCAAACACCCUGAAAACACCCCGAAACAGCCCCAAAACACCCCAAAACACCCUGGAAACACCCCGAAACAGCCCCCAAACCCCCCAAAACACCCCAAAACAGCCCGAAAAUAACCCAAAACCACCCAAAACACCCCCAAAACAGCCCAAAACACCCCCAAAACACCCAAAACCAGCCCCAAAACCACCCGAAACAGCCCAAAAACAGCCCAAAACAGCCCAAAUCCCUGCAAACCCCCUCAAA
rnacentral:lncRNA from 1 species